rnacentral:lncRNA from 14 species
UGGAUGAUUGUUUUGAUGUGCUCUUGAAUUCGGUUUGCCAGAAUUUUAUUGAGUAUUUUUGCGUCGAUAUUCAUAAGGGAAAUUGGUCUGAAGUUCUCUUUCUUUGUUGUGUCUUUGUGUGGUUUAGGUAUAAGAGUAAUUGUGGCUUCGUAGAAGGAAUUCGGUAGGGCUCCAUCUGUUUCAAUUUUGUGGAAUAGUUUGGAUAAUAUUGGUAUGAGGUCUUCUAUGAAGGUUUGAUAGAAUUCUGCACUAAACCCGUCUGGACCUGGGCUCUUUUUGGUUGGGAGACCUUUAAUGACUGCUUCUAUUUCCUUAGGAGUUAUGGGGUUGUUUAACUGGUUUAUCUGUUCCUGAUUUAACUUCGAUACCUGGUAUCUGUCUAGGAAAUUGUCCAUUUCCUGAAGAUUUUCAAGUUUUGUUGAAUAUAGGUUUUUAUAGUAAGAUCUGAUGAUU